GGCUGGUACGAAGGUAGUGAGUUAUCUCAGUUGAUUGCUCAGUCAGUUACAGAUUACACACCUUGUUCCACUCUCUUUCUUCUCACUACUGCACUUGACGUGUAAAA
rnacentral:Y_RNA from 1 species